rnacentral:lncRNA from 1 species
AUGGUGAGAGAACCCAGUUUCUGUUAUGCUUUGGGGGUAAAACUCAAUGCUGCUCAAAAAUAUUAUAAGAAAAAGGUUUAUAGGAAACUGGCAUUGAAGUACCACUCUCGUAAGAACCUGAAUGAAGGAGAUAAAUUUAGGCAGAUUUCUCCAGCUUGUCAAGUUCUCUCUGAUGCAAAGAAAAGCGAAUUGUAUGUCAAAGGAGGAAAGCCAGGUAAUUAAAGAGGGUGGAGCAGGUAGCGCUUCUGGCUCUCCUGUGGACAUCUUUGAUAUGAUUUUUGGAGGAGAAGGAGGAAGUAUGCAGAGGGAAAGGAAAGGUAAAAAUGUGUGUCAGCUGUCAAUAACCUUAGAAGAUUUAUAUAAAGGUGUGGCAAGAAAACUGGCUCUGCAAAUAAAACAAAAAAAAUGUGAUUUGUGACAAAUGUGAAGGUAGAAGUGGUAAGAAAGGAAUAGUAGAGGGCUGUCCCAAUUGCAUAGUUACUGGAAUGCAAAUAAGAAUUAAUCAGAUAGGACCUGGAAUGGUUUAGCAAAUUUAAUCCGUGGGCAUAGAGUGCUAGGGCCAUGGAGAACAAAUCAGUCCUGAAGAUAGAUAUAAAAGCUGCAAUGGAAGGAAGACAGAGAAAAAGAAGAUUGUACAAGUCCAUAUUGACAAAGGCGUGAAAGAUGGCCAGAAGGUAACGUUCCAUGGUGAAGCAGACCAAAGAACCAGGAUUGGAGCUAGGAGAUAUUAUUAUUGUGUUAGAUCAGAAGGAGCACACUGUUUUUAUUCAAUGAGGAGGAGAGCUUUUCAUGUGUAUGGACAUAUAGCUGGUUGAAGCAUUUUGUAGCUUCCACUCUUAAUGACUGAACUGUAGUCAUCACCUCUCAUCCAGGUCAGAUUGUCAGCAUGGAGAUAUCUUGGGUGUGCUAAGCGAAGGAAUGCCAAUUUAUGUAGCCCAUAUGAAGAGCUGCCAAAUUAUCUAAUCGAAGGUAAACUUUUCCUGAGAAUGGCUUUCCCUCAGCUGAUGAACUCUCUUGCUGAAAAAACUCCUACCUUAGAGGAAGAAAGUAGAAGAGACUGAUGAAAUGGAUCAGAUAGAACUGGUGGACUUCGAUCCAAAUGAGAAAAGAUGACAGCAUGACAAUGGAGAAGCAUAUGAGGAUUAUAAACAUCAUCCUAGAGGUGGUGUUCAGUGUCAAACCUCUUA